UUAUAGUAUGGCCAUAACCGCUGUGCACUCCCUGAGGUAUGCGCGCGGAGAGACGGAGGGGUGACGGAGGGUGACGCGCUCUAUCUAGAGAUGGCUACUUGGUUAUUGAACAAAAAUGGCUUACGACUAGCGUUACCUGGCGACGCAUUAGCUAGCUAAGCAGGACUUGAAUUGAAUAACGCUCAACUAACUGUCCUUGGCAUCCGAGUUCGAUCCUAACAGCCGCAACAAGUUCGGAUGAUAUGAUAAUAAUAUAUUAAUGCCAUAAUUUAGUUCAUCAUUAUUUUUAUUUUAUAUUAUAAUCUUUUGAAAAUAAAAAAAAUAAGACCAACGA